rnacentral:misc_RNA from 1 species
GAAAUGCGAUAAGUAAUGUGAAUUGCAGAAUUCAGUGAAUCAUCGAAGCUUUGAACGCACAUUGCGCCCCCUGGUAUUCCGGGGGGCAUGCCUGUUCGAGCGUCAUUUCACCACUCAAGCCUCGCUUGGUAUUGGGCGACGCGGUCCGCCGCGCGCCUCAAAUCGACCGGCUGGGUCUUCCGUCCCCUCAGCGUUGUGGAAACUAUUCGCUAAAGGGUGCCGCGGGAGGUCACGCCGCAAAACAACCCCAUUUCUAAGGUUGACCUCGGAUCAGGUAGGGAUACCCGCUGAACUUAAGC